CCUUACCUGGCCUUGACAUACUAAGAACUUCCAGAGAUGGAUUGGUGCCUUCGGGAACUUAGAUACAGGUGCUGCAUGGCUGUCGUCAGCUCGUGUCGUGAGAUGUUGGGUUAAGUCCCGCAACGAGCGCAACCCUUUUCCUUAUUUGCCAGCGGGUAAUGCCGGGAACUUUAAGGAUACUGCCAGUGACAAACUGGAGGAAGGCGGGGACGACGUCAAGUCAUCAUGGCCCUUACGGCCAGGGCUACACACGUGCUACAAUGGUCGGUACAAAGGGUUGCUACCUCGCGAGAGGAUGCUAAUCUCAAAAAGCCGAUCGUAGUCCGGAUCGCAGUCUGCAACUCGACUGCGUGAAGUCGGAAUCGCUAGUAAUCGCGGAUCAGAAUGCCGCGGUGAAUACGUUCCCGGGCCUUGUACACACCGCCCGUCACACCAUGGGAGUUUGUUGCACCAGAAGUAGGUAGUCUAACCGCAAGGAGGACGCUUACCACGGUGUGGCCGAUGACCGGGGUGAAGUCGUAACAAGGUAAGCGUAGAUGA
rnacentral:rRNA from 1 species